CAGUCCACAACUGUCUCAGCUCUCAGAGGAGGCUGAGCUUCUGGGAGGACUUGUCUGAGAGUGGAGCUGGCUGGCUGUUUGUCCAUCCAACAUGGAACCAAAGCGGAUCAGAGAAGGCUACCUUGUGAAGAGGGGGAGCAUAUUCAACACCUGGAAACCCAUGUGGGUUGUACUGUUAGAAGAUGGCAUUGAAUUCUACAAGAAGAAAAGUGACAACAGCCCCAAAGGGAUGAUCCCCCUGAAAGGAAGCACACUGACCAGCCCUUGUCAGGACUUUGGCAAAAGGAUGUUUGUGUUUAAGAUCACUACGGCCAAACAGCAGGACCAGUUCUUCCAGGCAGCCUUCCUGGAAGAGAGAGAUGCCUGGGUUCGGGACAUCAAGAAAGCCAUUAAGUGCAUUGAAGGAGGCCAGAAGUUUGCAAGGAAAUCCACCAGGAGGUCCAUCCGACUGCCGGAAACCAUUGACUUAGGGGCUUUGUAUUUGUCCAUGAAAGACACUGAAAAAGGAGUCAGAGAACUGAACCUCGAGAAGGACAAGAAGAUUUUUAAUCACUGUUUUACAGGUAACUGUGCCAUUGACUGGCUGGUGUCUAACCAGUCUGUUCGGAAUCGCCAGGAAGGCCUCAUGAUUGCCUCCUCGCUGCUGAACGAAGGGUACCUGCAGCCUGCUGGAGACAUAUCCAAGAACGCAGCUGACGGGACUGCUGAGAACCCUUUCCUGGACAAUGCCGAUGCCUUCUACUACUUUCCAGACAGUGGAUUCUUCUGUGAAGAGAACUCCAGUGAUGAUGAUGUGAUUCUAAAAGAAGAAUUCAGAGGGGUCAUUAUUAAGCAGGGAUGUUUACUGAAGCAGGGGCAUAGGAGGAAAAACUGGAAAGUGAGAAAAUUCAUUCUGAGAGAAGACCCUGCGUAUCUGCACUACUAUGACCCUGCUGGGGGGGAAGAUCCCCUGGGAGCCAUCCGCUUGAGAGGCUGUGUGGUGACUUCAGUGGAGAGCAACCUAGAUGGCAGGAAGACUGAAGACGAGAACCUCUUCGAGAUCAUCACAGCUGAUGAAGUUCAUUAUUUCUUGCAAGCGGCCACUCCCAAGGAGCGCAUUGAGUGGAUCAAGGCCAUCCAGGUGGCCUCCCGGACUGGGAAGUGAGGACACACCUGCAGGUUAUCACCCUCCUGAGGGAAGCCCACAGAUAAGCUCUGUCCAGAACCUGUCCCCUUUUGGUGACAAGUCAACAAGAAAGGGCCCGGGGGUGGGAAAUUGUCAUCUGCAGAGGUUCUGAAUGUAACUAACCACAUGCCAUGUGAUGUUUACUGCACCGACCACAUUGCUCACUGAAGCCUUUCUGUCACUCUCCAUGCCCCUCAAGCAGAUAUAACAAGCUAUGUGACCUGGGUACUUGGCUUAAUCUCUCCAGACUUCAGGUUCCUUUUCUGGAAAAUGAAUGAGUUGAACUAGGAGACCCCUGAGGUCUUCCCUAGCUUAAAAACUGAAAGCCUUUGAUUCUAAAACCCAUGACGUCAGUGUCUCUCUCUAUUCAUCCAGCUGGUGGCUAAGUCUUGAACCUCAGAACCUGAGCCAGUUCUUACCUUUGAAACUGUUUCCACUCUGUACUAAGAGUAUGAGGGAUAAACCUUUUUUCCUGUUCACCACCUUCCCCCGCUCUUGGCCCUGGGAUGGUGUGUCAAAGCGAAGGGGAACUCCCUUCCUCCCCACUCUGCCCAGCAGUUUCCUGGGAGCCGGCGCUGUGCUCUGGCUUAUAGGUGGAAGCUUCCCAUCACUUAGUACAGCCUGGGACUUACGUCAUCCAAGAAAAAGACCUGAGGAAGGCAGGAAUGGCAGAAGGUCUUUUCCAUGUCCUGAAACCACCCACGGCAGGUGUCACUUCUACUUGGGGCUGAUCUGAGAAGGCUUUUUUGUCCCUUUCUGGAGCAUUUCUCUACCAUUGAUUAAAAUGAGGAGGGGGAACUCCAAGUCUUCAAGAUUCUGUUCAUUUUAAUGUUUUCAGAUAAAAGUGCCUAGAUGAAUUUGCACCGUGGGCUCUCUACAUGGGUGAGGAGCCUGGGCAGCUGCCUAGCUAAUGUGUCCCCACAGCUCCAGAGGGCACCGGGGCUGUAACCACAGGCCGGCAGAUGGGAUGAUCGGUUUAUACAAAGACAGCACUGGAAUGAUUUAAAUGUACACCAGCCUCCUGGAGGAAGCUGUCAACAUUGUGCAGCACCUUCAGUUCUAUAGUUACUGAUCUGUGGUUGUGCCUGAGUGUUAAGCCCAGGCUAGAGCAGCUCCGCUUGGCUUUCCAGGGGCCUCAUGAACUCAUUAUCAACCAGAGCCAUCUGCCCUACAUUCAGAUUCGGUACCUGUUUCCAAUUUUUGACUCUGUCCACUAACUAGUGAUUCUAAUCCAAAAUUGAGAAAGAAAUGGAUGUGUGUGAAGGUGUAUUUUCUAACUUCAGAUUUUCAAUUUUAAGUUUCCCAGUGAGGAAAGGAGGCUAAAAAAUUCUUCCUGCUUUCAUCAACUCUUCUCUUUCCCUUCCCCAAUUCCACAUGAUAUCCACGAGGCUAUUCCUACUCUCGGAUUACUUUACCAAUGGCCUACAGGUAAAAGGCCACCUGCUCUCUGAUUUGUUAGUAAAUUGUCUUCUUGGAACAUGCAUAGUAGGUUUUCUACAUUCAGUGUUAAAAGUAUUUAUUAAUGUGGAGUCAACUCUGUUUUGAAAUAAACAUGACCUUGUUUACUGUC